UGACAGUGGAUCCAAAAUGCUUAUGCUAAGCCUGGACAGAAUUCAGAGAUGUCUGACUCAUGCUUGUCAUUUCUGAUCAUUUGUCAUGUUUUUCUAAGAAUUUGUACCUAAGCAUGCAGUGAUAAUCUCUGUUGCCAGCACUGGAGAACACCGGCUGAGGUUACUAUAAUUAUCUGUUUCACAGCCAUGCCUCAGGUAGCAGAGUAGAAUUUGAUGCCUCAUGCACUGAACAACCCUGCCUUCCAUAACCAGGGAAGAUGAACUGAGCAGCCAUUGAUCAUCCUGACACUAACAUACUCAGGCUCCUUUUCUUGAUUGGAUUUUCAGGGAAGCAGCUUGCAUCCUAAGAAAUAUGAGGCCACAUCUACCCUUUUGAGGCAUACAGCACAGCAGGGAUAACCUACUGCUUCCUUGUGAGGGUCUCGGAAUCAGGCUGUUGAAACUGGAGAUGGCAAAGAUACGUCAGCUGUAAGAUCUGCUUCCCGCUGUGGCACUUCAGGAUUCUUGCCCACCAGUGUUCCUUCUAGAGGAGACUUUUCAAAGCCUUACCUCCCAAUGUCAGAGGCCUGGUACAUCUUUGUGCCAUCUCCUCCACUCUU